GACGAACGCUGGCGGCGUGCCUAAUACAUGCAAGUCGAGCGGGUUUAUCCUUCGGGAUAAGCUAGCGGCGGACGGGUGAGUAACACGUAGGUAACCUGCCUUUAAGACUGGGAUAACUAU
rnacentral:rRNA from 1 species